GCACCGGGCCCCUAGUAUAUAAUAAAAGGCUAAUAUGCAAAUCGACCAAACAGCAGAACCACUGGUCACUAUGAUGCGCACUGACCACCAGGGGGCAGAUGCUUAAUGCAGGAGCUGCCCCCUGGUGGUUGGUGUGCUCCCAUAGGGGGAGCACCGCUCAGCCAGAAGCCAGGCUCACAGCUGGUGAGCACAGCAGUGGUGGGAGCCUCUCCCGCCUCCGAGACAGCACUAAGGAGCAGGGAGCCCGGCUUCUGGCUGGUGAGCACAGUGGCAGUGGUGGGAGCCUCUCCCACCUCCGUGGCAGCCCUAAGGACCCCUCAGCAGAUGUCCACCUACCAGCUUAGGCUCGCUUCCUGAGAGGGCGCAGGAUGGGCUGAGGGACCCCCCCCCUCCCUGCCCUCACUGCACAAAUGUCAUGCACCAGGCCUCUAUACUAAUAAAAGGGUAAUAUGCUAAUUAAACGGGAUAGACUGGGCGUCUUCUGGACAUCCUUCCUGACAAAGCCAGGGGUGUGGCUGGCCUGCAAACUGCCCAUGACCCCUUGCCCAGGCUGGCCCCGCCCCCACCCCGAUCAGGGGUGUGGCCUGCAAACCCUCAGUAGCCCCAAGCCCAGGCCAGCCCCACUCCCCAGUGGUCACUGCCACCUCGAUUAGGCGCCCCAAGCCCAGGCUGGCCCCAUCCCCCAGCAGGGACUCCCACCCCAAUCGGGAGCAUGGCCGGCCUGCAAACUGCUGCGGCCCCUCGCCCAGGCCAACCCCCAGUGGGGACCCCCCCACCCUGAUCUGGGGCCCCUUCAGGGCAGGCCAGCCUGCCCCCACCCGUGCACCAGGCCUCUAUCCUAUAUAAUAAAAGGGUAAUAUACAAAUUGACCCUGACAGCAGAACGAUCAGAACAACCUCUGGACCAGUCACUAUGAGGCACACUGACCACCUCUCAGUCUCUUUCCUCAGCCGGCAGGCUCCAAUUGCCUGAUGGCCACCCAUGGGGGGGAGGGGGCGGGGGCGGGCGAGCAGGCGGGAACAGCCAACCUCUCGGUCCCUUCCCCCGGCCGUCAGGCACCGAUCACACAAUGGCAAACGGGGAACUGGGAGUGGGUGGCGUCAGGGGACAGGGCCUGCUGCGGGCAGCUGGGGAAGAUGGCCUUGAUUGCAGGCCAGGCCUACGGACCAUACCCACACAUGAAUUUCAUGCGCCAGGCCUCUAGUUUUAAAAAAUGAGGCUGAAUCAAAUGUUCUUAGCCAGGGUAGUAAAUGUGAAGAGAGGGGUAGAAUCCAAGUCUACAGGCCUAGGAUAGUAUUUGGUUUAUUUACAAAUCUGAGAGUUUUCUGUUUAAUUUGGGGUAACUACAGACACAGGUACUCUUCGCCCGGAGACCACAUUGGUGUUCCCAUUGCUCCUUCCUGUGUUUCAUAUCUGAAUACGCAAUGAUUUGGACUCUAUUUUUAAAAGCCAAAAAGAUGCACGCACAGAGAAUGAGCGUGAAAUGAAGCAAUUCAAGAAUUUAGAUUUUUUUUUUUCCUGAAAAAUGCUGAGUUAAGAAAGUUCAUUACCAGAGAUGAAAAUAAAUAGCUUCAUUGGUUUGAGCAAAUGAAUGACAAGAUCUAAACAUUAUCAGGUCUCUAGAAGUGAUGAUGAAAGUUGAGAUAUUUUGCUAGAUCCUGGGAGAAACGGGCCAUUUAUGCUCCCAUAUAAAAUGAGUGUUUUAUGAUCAGGAGACAGCAUGAUAUUAUAAAACAGACCUUGGACUCAGACCUGGCUCAAAUUUUAACCUAAUUUACUCAUCAGCAUUUGGGUUGACCUUGGAGUGGUUUUAUAACCAGUCUAAGUCCCAGUUUCCUUUAUGUACAAAAUAAGGAAAAGAUUUGUUUGUUCAUGAGGUGAUGUUCAUGAAAACAUCUGGCAUCUAGGUGCUCGGUAAAUACUAGUCGCUCUCUCUCCCCUUUUCCCUGAAGCUUUGAGACAAUGUAGGAUUUGCAACCAAUCCUCUGACGUGGGUGCUUAGCUCUGCCCCUUUUCAGGGAGCAUGGAGGAGGAUGAAGACGGGACAUGGGUGGAAUUGACCUUUGAGGAUCAAGAAUCAUGCCCCCUGAUUGGGAACCUGAGUAGGUCUGGCAUGGCAUGGAGGGUGGUCUCUGGAACUAGAGUUCUGGCAGCACAGCGUAACGGGAGGGAAGGCAUGACUUCCAUCAUCCUGAAUCCUGUACGCCCUACCCCCAAAUCAUUAUAUUGUUGCAGUUAUUUAGUUUUGUGCCUUGAAUGUGCUUUUUCUUUUUUAUCUUGAAGCCCCUCAAAUGGUAUUUUUAAAGGUGUUUCUUCAAUCAAAUAAAGAUUUAAAAGAUUUUUUUAAAAUGCUGACCCUUUUGCACCAGCCAAUAGAGCAAUUAAAGACAAGCAUUGCCUUGCUUCCUGUGAAAAAUGCUUGGCAGUUAGCCUUUGUAAUUAUGAAGCAAUCAUGUUAAUAGAUGUUUAAGAAUAAUACAGCUGGCACAGUACUGAGCCAUGAAUGGAGAUGAGCACAUGAGACCAUUUCCCUUCAUCCGUUGGUGCUCUUUAGUGCCCAAGAAAGAGGUUCAAUCAGUGGGACCCAGAAGCUUUCGAUGCUUUAGUUUUUCUUCCUAGGAACCAACCGGCGCUCAGUCCCAGGGCAUGAUUCACAGGCAGCAUGGCUACUGCUGACUGACACUGGCAGCUUCAUUCAGUUGCCCUCUCCCUUUUGGCUUAUACUUAUUUCAGUGGCCACUUAAACUUUAGCCUUUACAUACAAAUGUGGCGGAUCCCACUAUUUCUCAAUAUGUAUUACAGGAAACACUUGUCUUGAAGCAUGCUCCACGGUCAAAUAAGUUUAGGAAACAUAAUGAAUUAUUAUUUCCCUUUUGUCGAAUCACAAUAGAGCUAGCUCCACAGAACACAGGUUGGAAACGAAUACUUUUACAGAAGCAAUUGAACUCUGAUUGCUUCUUAGAAUAUUAAGGGGUCAUAAUAUGCCAUCCUAAAAUAUGCCACUUUGGCAUAAAGAUUAUUUUGAGUUGAAGGCAAUUGAGAAGCAAUAGAUGCAGGAAGAACGGCAUAGAUUUUCCUUUGUAAAGGUGUCCCCUCUGGUCCUCAUCACUGGAAACAGAUGGCACUGAGAUGAGCCUACAUUAAAAAAGCCUUACCUAACAUAAUCCUUAUUUUCCAUCAGUUUCCCCAUAUAUUUACUCUUCCACGACUCACCCCCUCUAGAAGCCCACCCCCCCCCUUUCCUUUGCCUAUUUACUUCACCAUUUAUCACUCUUUGUCAAAACGGUACAUAAGCUUCCAAGUCUUACUGCUUCUUUUGACUUUUCUUUCCUGUGUAGCCCCCAUGGAAGUAAAAUUUAAAAUAUCAAUUAAAUUUUCUUUUAUAAACUUGA